ACCCGCUGAACUUAAGCAUAUCAAUAAGCGGAGGAAAAGAAACCAACAGGGAUUGCCCUAGUAACGGCGAGUGAAGCGGCAACAGCUCAAAUUUGAAAUCUGGCGUCUUUGGCGUCCGAGUUGUAAUUUGCAGAGGGCGCUUUGGCAUUGGCAGCGGUCCAAGUUCCUUGGAACAGGACGUCACAGAGGGUGAGAAUCCCGUACGUGGUCGCUAGCCUUUACCGUGUAAAGCCCCUUCGACGAGUCGAGUUGUUUGGGAAUGCAGCUCUAAAUGGGAGGUAAAUUUCUUCUAAAGCUAAAUACUGGCCAGAGACCGAUAGCGCACAAGUAGAGUGAUCGAAAGAUGAAAAGCACUUUGGAAAGAGAGUUAAAAAGCACGUGAAAUUGUUGAAAGGGAAGCGCUUGCAGCCAGACUUGCCUGUAGUUGCUCAUCCGGGUUUUUACCCGGUGCACUCUUCUAUAGGCAGGCCAGCAUCAGUUUGGGCGGUUGGAUAAAGGUCUCUGUCAUGUACCUCUCUUCGGGGAGGCCUUAUAGGGGAGACGACAUGCAACCAGCCUGGACUGAGGUCCGCGCAUCUGCUAGGAUGCUGGCGUAAUGGCUGU
rnacentral:rRNA from 1 species